UUCGCAAUGCCCGAAAGGGUGACGAAGCGACGCCGCGUGUGGGAAGAAGGCCUUCGGGUUGUAAACCACUGUCGGGAGUUAAGAAAUGUAAGGAUGUUAAUAGCAUUCUUGCUUGACUAAGGCUCCGGAGGAAGCCACGGCUAACUCUGUGCCAGCAGCCGCGGUAAUACAGAGGCGGCAAGCGUUGUUCGGAAUUAUUGGGCGUAAAGAGCACGUAGGCGGCUAUGUAAGUCGGUUGUGAAAGCCUUCCGCUCAACGGGAGAACAGCAUCCGAUACUGCAUGGCUUGAGUGCGGGAGGGGAGAGUGGAACUUCUGGUGGAGCGGUGAAAUGCGUAGAUAUCAGAAGGAACGCCGGCGGCGAAAGCGGCUCUCUGGCCCAUAACUGACGCUGAGUGUGCGAAAGCUAGGGGAGCAAACGGGAUUAGAUACCCCGGUAGUCCUAGCCCUAAACGAUGGGCACUAAGUAGAGGGGUUUU
rnacentral:rRNA from 1 species